rnacentral:rRNA from 1 species
UACGUAGGGUGCGAGCGUUGUCCGGAAUUAUUGGGCGUAAAGAGCUCGUAGGCGGUCUGUUACGUCUGCUGUGAAAACCCAGGGCUUAACCCUGAGCUUGCGGUCGAUACGGGCAUGACUGGAGUUCGGCAGGGGAGACUGGAAUUCCUGGUGUAGCGGUGAAAUGCGCAGAUAUCAGGAGGAACACCGGUGGCGAAGGCGGGUCUCUGGGCCGAUACUGACGCUGAGGAGCGAAAGCGUGGGGAGCAAACAGG